rnacentral:lncRNA from 1 species
GGUACUCGCGCAGGCGCAGCCUCGACCGCGGCGCGCGGCCGGACUUUCAAUCUCGUUUGGGAUUCAUCGCCCGUUCGCGUUCGUUCGUUCGUUCGCUCCGAUUGCCUCAGCGACUUGGACUUGGACGAAUCGGAUUUCUCCGCCGUCGCGCUUCAGUCGCCGAUCGCCCGCCCGCCCGCGAGAACCCGUUGUCGUCGCGCGCGCCAUCGAUAGUCGAUCACACGCCGAUUACGCCCGAGCCACCGGCGCUUAAGUGCUAAGUACCCGUAAGUUCUCGUUAAGUUCCGUCGGCACCCGAUGACGUCAUCGGGGUCCGCGUAAGUUCGGUCGCGUGUCGCCGGUUAACGAAGUUUCGGCUGUUUAGGGUGAGAAUGGCUAUUUAAACAUUCUUCUCCGGUGUUUAAAUCCGGGCAAAUGAACCAUCUUCCUGUGUGCCUUUAUACCGUUGAACAAUUUGAGUGUUCCUUCAUAUUCGGUCAGUGCUCGGUGUUCUAUCCUAGACAUUUUUCAACCAUUAGUUUGGAACGUUUUAGAAGUUUUUUGCGUGCAAAAACUAUCGCUUAAAAUAAUUAUUUUGAACUUUAAAAUUUCCGCCCAAAAAAAUGCGUCGCGUGUGGGUGUACGUUAACGGUCACGUAACCGCUUACCUGGAUUCUGCUAGCAAAAUCCCUGCCUCAACUUUGGAUGAUGUUCGACCAAGCGUCAAAUUUCCGCACGGAAGAUCCAAUUUAAAGGUGCAAAGACUGACUCAAUACGAAGAGUACCUGACAAACCUGCUCGAUGAUCCCGAACAGAUCAUGACGAUACCACCACCGUCAGGACCCGCGUCAACCAGGUAAGACUCCCCUUCCCUCCUUAUUAAAUCCAUAUUUCUGGUUGCA